GUCUAUGACCAUGCCACCCUGAACAAGCCCAAUGUCUGAUCUCGGAAGCUAAGCAAGGUCGGGCCUGGUUAGUACUUGGAUGGGAGACCACCUAGGAACACCAGGUGCUAUAGGCA
rnacentral:rRNA from 1 species